UUUGGGUUUGGCGGGGGGGGGGGGGGGGGGAAGGGGAUUAGGGGGGAAGAAGAGGGAAAAAUAAAGCUCUUGUUCAAUAUACCACUGUCCUGCUAAGCAAGAACAAUGAGACUAUGACCACAAACAUCUUAAUUGCUCCCCAAGCACAUCUUACAGCGAUGACCUGCAUCCAUACUCUCAUCAGAAUACAGCAGUAUACUGUUGUCUCUUGGGAAGCCAUAGUUUUGUUUUUGUAGAUGUGUUGCUAUAGCUACCCAUGACAAUUAGUGAAGUUUUCUGAAGAUGGUCAGUCUCACCCGUACAAACUGAGCGAAAAUGAGCGAGCAGCUUGGUGGUGCUUAGCUGUCCAUUGGUGUGAAACCACCACACUGUAAUUAUCACGAUCAAGGCAGAUGACGUCUGUCUACAGCCCUGUAUCUAAAUACAGUGGAACCUUUAGAGAGAGAAAUCACUGCAGCAACUCUCAGAUGAAGAAAAGUUCAGUGUGUUUGUCUCACCAACAGCAAGUGCUGAUGUCCACUUUUGAACUGUCAUCAAGACUUCACUGGUAGUUAAUGAAAAGAAGUCAG
rnacentral:lncRNA from 1 species